UAAUGUCGCCCUGAACACAAUGUAAAAAGAAAGUUUUGCUUAAAGCCUAGUACUGACUUCAUUCGCAGCGUAGUCGCAACAAUUCCAAAAGCUAAACAGAAUAUUCUGCUUAAUGGCUAGUACUGGCUUCGAAUUUUCACCCGAACAAUUGUCAAAACGCAUUAUAAAGAAAUGGUGACGAAGAAAAUGCGAACACAUUCCGUAGAAAUGGUACUAAGUUCUAUGAGCAAAAUAUCAGCAACAUGUCGCUGUGCCAAGACAAAUUUCGCUUUAAAUAAUUGCAAAGCCAAAUUUCAAUAUAUGGAGGUUGCGAUCCUCGUCAAGUCCCAUAGGUUAGCAAGCUCGUUCCGGUCCACAGGAUCGAUUGCCGCGGGAACGUUUUGGUCAUCGGUUAUUUAAAGGCGCCGGAUUUCGCAAUAAUUUAAUAAGCAUUUUCGCUGCGAAUGAAAUCAGUACUAAGCUUAAAUGUGAAAAUAAUUUACGUCAUGGUGAAGUGCGCAAAGAAUCGGGUUCGAUCGAACUUAAUGCAUUUUUAAUCAUAAUCAUAUAAUAUAUAGGAACUUUAUUUUGUAUGACGUUUGUCCGGUUUAACUGUAGUUACAAACCCAAUAAAACUUGAAUCUCGAGAAAGCAAAGGGA